rnacentral:tRNA from 1 species
GAGGGUAUAGCUCAAGCGGUAGAGCACAUGCUUAGCAUGCACAAGGUCCUGGGUUCAAUCCCCAGUACCACCU